CCUACGGGUGGCAGCAGUGGGGGAUAUUGCACAAUGGGGGCAACCCUGAUGCAGCGACGCCGCGUGUGGGAAGACGGUCCUCUGGAUUGUAAACCACUUUCCCCAGGGACGAAGAUGACUGUACCUGGUGAUGACGCUCCGGCUCACUACGUCCCAGCAGCCGCGGUAAUACGUAGGGAGCGAGCGUUGUCCGGAAUUACUGGGUGUACAGGGAGCGUAGGCGGGACGGAAAGUUGGGGGUCAAAGCUACCGGCUCAACCGGUAGCCGCACUCAAAACUGCAGUGCUGGAGUGAAGUAGAGGCAGGCGGAAUUCCUAGUGUAGCGGUGAAAUGCGUAGAUAUUAGGAGGAACACCAGUGGCGAAGGCGGCCUGCUGGGCUGUGACUGACGCUGAGGCUCGAAAGUGUGGGGAGCAAACAGGAUUAGAUACCCCUGUAGUC
rnacentral:rRNA from 1 species